UACGUAGGGUGCAAGCGUUGUCCGGAAUUAUUGGGCGUAAAGAGCUCGUAGGCGGUCUGUCACGUCGGAUGUGAAAAUCCAGGGCUUAACCCUGGACCUGCAUUCGAUACGGGCAGACUAGAGGUAUGCAGGGGAGAACGGAAUUCCUGGUGUAGCGGUGGAAUGCGCAGAUAUUAGGAGGAACACCGGUGGCGAAGGCGGUUCUCUGGGCAUUACCUGACGCUGAGGAGCGAAAGCAUGGGGAGCGAACAGG
rnacentral:rRNA from 1 species